GCAGCUGUAGCUCAACUGGCUAGAGCGCCGGAUUGUGGUUCCGGAGGUUGUGGGUUCGACCCCCACCAGCUGUA
rnacentral:tRNA from 1 species